UAGAACUUCCUGGCUCUGUGAGCUCAUCUUCUAGAACAUGCUCACUCACUGAACUUCGUCAAGAUCAUCUGUGCCCUUUAGUUUCGAGAUCCAGGAGCAUUUCAGAGACGAAAGCAGUGGUAAACAACACAUCAAUGAGUGCCAGUGGCCACAUUCCAGCAAAAGUUUAUAAUGGACACUAAAAUGUGCUUCAUACAUGGAACCUCAAUUGUCUUGAGGGAGGGAUUAAUCCUUCGGAGACACUGAGUGCCUGAGAGGACCAGGGCAUGCUGCAGGAGCCACAGCCAGCAACUGAAGAGUUGGGCUGUGAAGCCAAUUCCGCCUGUCUUAUGGCUGAUGUGUCUCUCCCAUAACCUCCCUUUCAGUGUUCUCCCAGUCUUAGGAGAACACCAACUGCCACUUUGCCUCUGCAAACACACUGCUAUGGAGUUUCUCUUUCUCCGUCAAUCUUAUGAUAUAUAUAUCAGAACAGCAAAAAGUGUGGGGUUCAAAAGGCGUUGCAAAGGGAGCUCCACCAUGUUGAUCCUCUCAUCACACACAUCAGGCAGUCGGCUCUAGUACCAGGCAUUUGCCAUUUGCCCUCUCUCCUCCCCCCCCUCUCUCUCUCUUUCUCUCAUGUGUGUGUGUGCACACACACAUGAUCAU